rnacentral:tRNA from 1 species
UGGCGGAUCGUCUAACGGUAGGACGUUUGGUUUUGGUCCAAAAAAUCGGGGUUCGAUUCCCUGUCCGCCAG